GAUGAACGCUGGCGGCGUGCCUAACACAUGCAAGUCGAGCGAUUCUCUUCGGAGAAGAGCGGCGGACGGGUGAGUAACGCGUGGGUAACCUGCCUCAUACACAUGGAUAACAUACCGAAAGGUAUGCUAAUACAAGAUGAUAUAAGAGAUUCGCAUGGAUUUCUUAUCAAAGCUCCGGCGGUAUGAGAUGGACCCGGGUCUGAUUAGCCAGUUGGUAAGGUAACGGCUUACCAAGGCGACGAUCAGUAGCCGACCUGAGAGGGUGAUCGGCCACAUUGGAACUGAGACACGGUCCAAACUCCUACGGGAGGCAGCAGUGGGGAAUAUUGCACAAUGGGCGAAAGCCUGAUGCAGCAACGCCGCGUGAGCGAUGAAGGCCUUCGGGUCGUAAAGCUCUGUCCUCAAGGAAGAUAAUGACGGUACUUGAGGAGGAAGCCCCGGCUAACUACGUGCCAGCCGCCGCGGUAAUAC
rnacentral:rRNA from 1 species